rnacentral:rRNA from 1 species
AACGAACGCUGGCGGCAUGCCUAACACAUGCAAGUCGAACGAAGGCUUCGGCCUUAGUGGCAGACGGGUGAGUAUCACGUGGGAAUCUGCCCAUCAGUACGGAAUAACCACUGGAAACGGUGGCUAAUGCCGAAUACGCCCUCCGGGGGAAAGAUUUAUCGCUGAUGGAUGAGCCCGCGUCGGAUUAGCUUGUUGGUGGGGUAACGGCCUACCAAGGCGACGAUCCGUAGCUGGUCUGAGAGGACGAUCAGCCACACUGGGACUGAGACACGGCCCAG